GAUGAACGCUGGCGGCGUGCCUAAUACAUGCAAGUCGAACGAGGUGCUUUUGUAGCAAUACGAGAGUAUCCUAGUGGCGAACGGGUGAGUAACGCGUUGGUGACCUACCCCAAAGUGUGGGAUAACAGUCCGAAAGGAUUGCUAAUACCGCAUGUGGUCUUCGGAUUUAGAAACUGAUGACUAAAGGAGCAAUUCGCUUUGGGAGGGACCUGCGUUCCAUCAGCUAGUUGGUGGGGUAAUGGCUCACCAAGGCUACGACGGGUAGGGGACCUGAGAGGGUGACCCCCCACAAUGGAACUUGAACACCGUCCAUACACCUACGGGUGGCAGCAGUAGGGAAUAUUGCACAAUGGGCGAAAGCCUGAAGCAGCAACGCCGCGUGUGGGAUGAAGGCCUUCGGGUCGUAAAGCACUUUUCUGAGGGAUGAGCAAGGACAGUACCUCAGGAAUAAGUCUCGGCUAACUACGUGCCAGCCGCCGCCGUAAAAC
rnacentral:rRNA from 1 species